GAUGAACGCUGGCGGCGUGCUUAACACAUGCAAGUCGAACGGAAAGGCCCAAGCUUGCUUGGGUACUCGAGUGGCGAACGGGUGAGUAACACGUGGGUGAUCUGCCCUGCACUUCGGGAUAAGCCUGGGAAACUGGGUCUAAUACCGGAUAGGACGAUGGUUUGGAUGCCAUUGUGGAAAGUUUUUUCGGUGUGGGAUGAGCUCGCGGCCUAUCAGCUUGUUGGUGGGGUAAUGGCCUACCAAGGCGUCGACGGGUAGCCGGCCUGAGAGGGUGUACGGCCACAUUGGGACUGAGAUACGGCACAGACUCCUACGGGAGGCAGCAGUGGGGAAUAUUGCACAAUGGGCGCAAGCCUGAUGCAGCGACGCCGCGUGGGGGAUGACGGCCUUCGGGUUGUAAACUCCUUUCGCUAGGGACGAAGCGUUUUUGUGACGGUACCUGGAGAAGAAGCACCGGCUAACUACGUG
rnacentral:rRNA from 1 species